ACUUUUCCAAGAUAUUAAAUUUCCCACCAAACAAGACAAUAUCUUGAGAUAGAUCAUCUAAAGGAGAACCAACCCAAUCUGCAUCUAAAUAUCCAAAAACCUAUAAGUGAUUCUUGUCUUCAAAUAAAAGUCCUUGUCUUGGGGCUCCUUUGAUAUACUUGAGAAUGUGAAUUACUACACCUCAGUGAAUAUCGCAUGGAGCUUGAAGAAAUUGACUUACCAUACUAACAACAAAAGAAAUAUAUGGGCGAGUGAUCGUUAGAUAAUUUAGUUUUCCAACAAAUCUCUAAUAUCUUUCAGGAUCUGUCAA
rnacentral:misc_RNA from 1 species